UACGGAGAGUGCAAACGUUGUUCGGAUUCACUGGGCGUAAAGGGCACGUAGGCGGCUCGGCAAAUCGGUCGUGGAAUCCCGACGCUUACCGUCGGAACGGCGGCCGAAAAUACCGGGCUCGAGGGCGUGAGGGGUCACUGGAACUCCUGGUGAAGCGGUGAAAUGCGUAGAUAUCAGGAGGAACACCGGUGGCGAAGGCGGCUCUCUGGUCCAUGACUGACGCUGAGGUGCGAAAGCUAGGGGAGCAAACGGG
rnacentral:rRNA from 1 species